GCCCCUAUAGCUCAAUGGAUAGAGCGACACCCUUCGAAGGUGGAGAUCUGGGUUCAACUCCUGGUGGGGGCA
rnacentral:tRNA from 6 species